UAACAGCCAAAAUGGUUCUUAUCCCUCCACAAAUAUAUAAUAUAGGACUGGAUGUAUAUCAUUCUUUAAGAUAAUUUCUUGUGUAUGCUUUGUUGACAAUUGUCUUAAUCAGUCCCUCCGGCAUAAAUUUGAUGGAUUGGAUGGAUUCUUGCUAUGGAACAGGUUUCCCUUUGGGAUGGUAUUAUACCAUCUCAAGAACAUGCCAAGUUUUGGAUUCAUACCACGAACAAGUACCGCUUUGCUGAUCAGGGAAGCAAUCUACGGGGUAAAGAGUUUAACUUGACUUUGCACUGGCAUGUCAUGCCCAAAACUGGUAAGAUGUUUGCGGACAAAAUAGUUAUGACGGGAUACCGUCUGCCGGAGGAAUAUAGAUAAGGUGUCGAUGUCGAAUUUUGAUGUAAACAAUAAUCUUGUUGCAUGAGGAUGAUUGAGGUUGGCUUAACUUGAAGAUGAAGAAGGGAGAAUGUGCAAAAUCAGUGAAAAAAUUUUAUGAGGGACUUUGUUUCCUUGUUCGGAUAAUCAAGUAGUUCGGUCAACAUUGAAAGGCUGCUACUAUCUAACGGUCUAUUAUCCGAGUGUAAUUGAUGUAUUUUCUAAAUAAGUAACUCAUGAUUUUUUUGGUGGA